GCUGGGUGUGGUGGUGCACGCCUGUAAUCCCAGCUACUUGGGAGGCUGAGGCACAAGGAUUGCUUGAGCCUGGGAGGCAGAGGCUGCAGUGAGCCGAGAUCACGCCACUGCACUCUAGCCUGGGUGACAGGGUGAGACUCUGCCUCAA
rnacentral:SRP_RNA from 2 species